UCAAGCUAGUAAGGGCAAAUGGUGGAUGCCUUGGCGCCAGGAGGCGAAGAAGGACGCGGUAAGCUGCGAAAAGCUCCGGGGAGCCGCUAAACAGGCUUUGAACCGGAGGUGUCCGAAUGGGGAAACCCGGUCGGCGUAAUGGCCGAUCAUCCCGCAAGGGAAGCUAACCCGGGGAACUGAAACAUCUCAGUACCCGGAGGAAAAGAAAUCAAAAGAGAUUCCGUGAGUAGCGGCGAGCGAAAGCGGAGUAGCCCAAACCUUGAGCCUACGGGCUUAGGGGGUUGUGGGGCCCCGAUACGAGACGUUUUGCGGAUAGCGGAAGGAGCUGGAAAGCUCCCCCAUAGAGGGUGAGAGGCCCGUAGGCGAAAUCCGGAAAGCGCUCCAGGGAGUCCCCGAGUACCGCGGGGCGCGUGGAACCCCGUGGGAAUCUGGGAGGACCAUCUUCCAAGGCUAAAUACUACCUGGCGACCGAUAGUGCACCAGUACCGUGAGGGAAAGGUGAAAAGCACCCCGGGAGGGGAGUGAAAUAGAACCUGAAACCGUUUGCCUACAAGCGGCGGGAGGACAGUGAAUUUUCGGAUUCCGUCUGACCGCGUGCCUUUUGCAUAAUGAGUCAGCGAGUUGCUCUUUGUGGCAAGGUUAAGCCGAUUAGGUGAAGCCGAAGCGAAAGCGAGUCCGAACAGGGCGAAUGAGUCGCAGGGAGCAGACCCGAAACCAGGUGAUCUAUCCAUGGCCAGGGUGAAGGCAGGGUAAUGCCUGCUGAAGGCCCGAACCGUUGAAGGUUGAAAACUUCUCGGAUGAGCUGUGGAUAGGAGUGAAAGGCUAAUCAAACCUGGAAAUAGCUGGUACUCCCCGAAAUGCAUUGAGGUGCAGCCUCGGUGAUGAGAAUGACGGAGGUAGAGCACUGGAUGGGCCAGGGGUCCUAACAGACUACCAACCCCAACCAAACUACGAAUGCCGUCAUGUUGCUCGCCGGGAGUGAGUCUUCGGGAGAUAAGUUCCGGGGACGAAAGGGAAAGAGCCCAGACCGCCGGCUAAGGCCCCCAAGUGAAGACUAAGUGGCAAAGGAUGUGGGAAUGCGCAGACAACCAGGAGGUUGGCUUAGAAGCAGCCAUCCUUUAAAGAAAGCGUAAUAGCUCACUGGUUCAGUGAUCUUGCGCCGAAAAUGAAACGGGGCUAAGUCUUCCGCCGAAGCCGCGGCAAUCCUUAGGGAUUGGGUAGGGGAGCAUUGCACAAGCCGGUGAAGGCGCACCGAGAGGAGCGCUGGAGGAAGUGCAAGAGAUUAUGCUGACAUGAGUAACGAUAAAACGGGUGAGAAUCCCGUUCGCCGUAAGCCUAAGGUUUCCUGGGUAAAGGUCGUCUUCCCAGGGUAAGUCGGCCCCUAAGGCGAGGCCCAAGGGCGUAGCUGAUGGGAAGCGGGUUAAUAUUCCCGCACCAGCUUGUGAGCGUUAUGAGCAAUGGGGGGACGCAGAAGGGUAGGCCGUCCGGGUGAUGGAAGUCCCGGUGUAAGCCCGUAGGUGGAAGGAGCAGGCAAAUCCGUUUCUUCAUAACACCGAGGGGUGACGCGGAAGGGGCGCAAGCCCCGCAAACCGGCUGAUCCCAAGCUGCCAAGAAAAGCCUCUAGCCAGCGCACAGGCUGACCGUACCGUAAACCGACACAGGUGGGCGAGGAGAGAAUCCUCAGGCGCGUGAGAGAACCCUGGUUAAGGAACUCGGCAAAAUAACACCGUAACUUCGGGAGAAGGUGUGCCCCCGCCAGGUGAAGGGACUUGCUCCUGGAGCCGAGGGGGGUUGCAGAUAAGAGGCGGUAGCGACUGUUUACUAAAAACACAGGACUCUGCUAAGUCGCAAGACGACGUAUAGGGUCUGACGCCUGCCCGGUGCUGGAAGGUUAAGGGGAGAUGUCAUUGCGCAAGCGAAAAGCAUUGAACCGAAGCCCCAGUAAACGGCGGCCGUAACUAUAACGGUCCUAAGGUAGCGAAAUUCCUUGUCGGGUAAGUUCCGACCUGCACGAAUGGCGUAACGAUUUCCGCGCUGUCUCAACCAGGGACUCAGUGAAAUUGUAGUCUCGGUGAAGAUGCCGAGCACCCGCGGCUAGACGGAAAGACCCCGUGCACCUUUACUAUAGCUUGGCAUUGGGCUUUGGGCUGGUAUGUGUAGGAUAGGUGGGAGGCAGUGAAGCGGGGGCGCUAGCUCUCGUGGAGCCAACGUUGAAAUACCACCCUUGUCAGUUUAGAGCUCUAACCUUGGAGUGUAAGCCACUUCGGGGACAGUGCCUGGUGGGUAGUUUGACUGGGGCGGUCGCCUCCAAAAGAGUAACGGAGGCGCGCGAAGGUUCCCUC
rnacentral:rRNA from 1 species